rnacentral:rRNA from 1 species
GAUGAACGCUGGCGGCGUGCCUAAUACAUGCAAGUCGAGCGAACAGACGAGGAGCUUGCUCCUCUGACGUUAGCGGCGGACGGGUGAGUAACACGUGGAUAACCUACCUAUAAGACUGGGAUAACUUCGGGAAACCGGGGCUAAUACCGGAUAAUAUAUUGAACCGCAUGGUUCAAUAGUGAAAGACGGUUUUGCUGUCACUUAUAGAUGGAUCCGUGCCGCAUUAGCUAGUUGGUAAGGUAACGGCUUACCAAGGCAACGAUGCGUAGCCGACCUGAGAGGGUGAUCGGCCACACUGGAACUGAGACACGGUCCAGACUCCUACGGGAGGCAGCAGUAGGGAAUCUUCCGCAAUGGGCGAAAGCCUGACGGAGCAACGCCGCGUGAGUGAUGAAGGUCUUCGGAUCGUAAAACUCUGUUAUUAGGGAAGAACAAAUGUGUAAGUAACUAUGCACGUCUUGACGGUACCUAAUCAGAAAGCCACGGCUAACUACGUG